rnacentral:tRNA from 3 species
CGCGGGGUAGAGCAGUUCGGUAGCUCGUCGGGCUCAUAACCCGGAGGUCGCAGGUUCAAAUCCUGUCCCCGCAACCA